rnacentral:miRNA from 1 species
GUAAGAUAGAUUAGUGCUUUC